UGAAUUAUUAUGCCAUAAAAUGUAUUACAGCAAAAUUUUGUCUGCAGAAGUAGUCCCUAGUCCACAAAUCCUUAUGCCGCAAUGAAUUUGUUAGUCUUUAAGUGCCACAGGACUCUUAUUUUCCUUUCUAUAUCGAUAACAAAGCAGCAGUUGCUAAUGGCUUCAAAGAUUUGCCCUGCACAGCUUCCUUCCUCUCAUUUCCCUUCUUCUCAGCUCCUUCUCAUUUUCGAGUGGCUUGCACAGCCUCGACCUUUCAGUGUGCAACUGCUGAGCUCUGGCUGGGGGUUGCUGGGUGAAGCAACUGGCUCUGUGAUCCAUGUGACUGCAGUUUCCGUUGCUUAGUUCCUUCCGCAAGUUCUAAAAUAAUCUGAUAUUAAGUGAGAGGGCAAACAGCUAAUUUUAAUAUUAUUUGUAGAGAUACAGCAAGAAAAGAGGGCACGGGCUGGAGCAGAAUGAACGUCCCAGACCUGAGUGUAUUGCUCCUACCCCCGGAGUCCUGCUGUUGAAAUGGCACUAAUAGCCCUGAGUAUCUUUGUGUGGAUAGCUUUCCUAGAUACAGGAUGGGGAAGCAAACCUGCAGCCUAUCACAGCCUUUGCAGACUGGAAGAGAGAACUGCAGACUGCAAAGGCAAGAGGCUGAGCUCUGUCUCACAAGACUUGCCUCCUGGAACAAUGGAGCUCUUCCUGGAUGCAAAUGUUAUACAGACCCUAAAGAAUGCAUCUUUAGUAAGGUAUCAAGUCCUGCAGAGCCUCAGUCUGUGUGAGAAUGGGUUGGAGCUCAUUGAGCCUGGGGCUUUCCUUGGCACCAGGAGCCUCAGUAGUCUAUCUCUGGCCAACAAUGCCCUCUCUGUGAACUAUUCUGCAACAGCAGCUGCUCUGGGGACUUUGCCUGCCCUGAGGAAGCUGGACCUAUCUGGAAAUCUGCUCAAUGAAGCUAUGAUGGCCACCUUGAUCCAGGAUUUGUCCUCUCUAGAAUCUUUGUCCUUGGCCUGGAACUCCAUCAUGAGGCUGGAUGACUCUCACUUACAAAAUCUGCCCAGGUUGCAGCACCUAGAUUUGCAGCACAACUACAUAUUUGAGAUUGAGACUGGCGCCUUUGAUGGUUUGCGAUGGCUACAGCAGCUUAAUCUGGCCUACAACUACAUUCCUUGCAUGGUGGAGUUUGACCUGACCCAACUCCGAAUGCUAAAUGUCAGCAACAAUCAAAUCGAGUGGUUCUUGGCUGCAGAGAAUGAUGCUGCCUUUGAACUAGAAACACUAGAUCUUUCCUACAACCAGCUCCUCUUCUUCCCGCUGUUGCCCAAGCAAAAUAAACUGAGGACUCUGCUGCUGAUGCACAACCAAUUGAACUUCUACAACAAUAUUUUCAAUGACUCAGAGGGCACAGUGCAACUGUUAUUCCUGGAUGGCAACAUCACAAACAUCACCACCCUUGACCUCUGGGCCGAAAACCAUCACAGCAACCUCUCUUCCCUGCAGUUCCUAGACAUGAGUUGGAACCAGCUCUGGUACCUUCCAGAAAGGUUUUUUGAAGGCAUGUCUUCCCUUGCUCAUCUGAACCUCAACCACAACUGCUUAGAGACAUUACAGAUACAGGAGAGUGACCUACUAAGCACUCUCGUUGACUUGGAUCUCAGCUACAACCAACUUCAGGAUCUGCAGAUGAACUUGGACCAUAGAAGCAGCUUAGCCAACCUCAGAACAUUGAGUCUGAGCACCAACAGACUGCGUGGCUUGCCUGCUAAAAUCUUUACUCACACAACAAAGAUCACUACACUUGACCUCAGUAAAAACCCUAUAAAGCUUUGUGCCUCAAAUGCUGCUGGAGGUUCCAGUUGCAUAGAUAUCAGUAAUGCUGGCUCCAUAAGGAAUCUUUUCUUGUCUGGCUGUGACCUAGAAAUACUGGACACCCACAUCUUUCAGGGGACUUCUAUAGCACACUUAGACCUUUCUGACAACCCCAGGUCACUACUUGAUGGCUUAGGACCUCUGAAAGAUGUUGCACAAUCACUGCAGGUGCUCUGUCUUAGGAACACUGGACUUUCUGCUGCAAGGACAAAUAUGGACUUCUCUGCUUUUCAGAAGCUGGUAAACCUAGAUCUAUCUGAAAAUUCUCUGGCUACCUUCCCUGAAUCUUUAGCAGGCCUGGAACUGCAAAUUCUGGAUCUAAGGAGAAAUCGUCUCCAUGCCCUACCUCAGCAUGCCAUGCAGAAGCUUGGAAAGAGCUUACAUGAGAUCUACCUCAGCCAGAAUCCUUAUGACUGCUGCCAGCUGGGUUGGUGGGAUGCCCUGCAUGACAGUGACACUGUACGCAUUCUAGACUGGAAUCAAGUCACUUGCAACUUUUCCUCUAAGUUCAUCCGUGUAGCAAAUUUGCCUGAAUCAGUCAUCCAGAAUUGCAAGUGGCUAACGGCAGAUAUGACCCUGCUGCAUCUGGUCCUUGUUCUUCCUACCUGUUUGGCCCUGCUAGUUGCCUUUGUUAUCAUCUUCCUGACUUUCAGGCAACGAAUUCUUCAAAUGGUGAAGAGCAGGUACAGAAGGUCCAGCCCUUAUUGACUCUGGGAUGGUGUGAAGAAAACAGCCACUCGGACCCUCCAGAAUGGGCAUAGGAGGAACACUUUAUCCACAUGCCAGUUGAAAUACUCAUAUGACAGACCUAAUGUUGGAGGGAACACUGAGGGGCAUUCCAAGGCCAUCUCAGCAGUGUUGGCUACAGCACAGCUUCCCAACAUGUGGAGGAGGUGCAAUUCAUAAAACGAGAUGGUGCAGUAUAAGGAAGCCAUAACUUCGCUGCAGAUGUGAAUGGCAUGUGGAAGACUGUAUGAAAUGAUUACCAACCUGGCACCUCUUACUCCAACUGACCCCCAAGUGUUGUGUUGGACUAGAGAUGCAGGUGGCAAUGCAAGCAUCUUGCUGCCUACAUGCUCCAAGACAGCUAUUUCACCAUUAGCUGAAAUUGCUAUGGUUGCACACACAAAGAAGGGCAAGGGGAGAACAGAGCAAAAUCUGGACCCCUUCAUCCCCUUACCAUGCUGUGCUCCAGUGCAGUGGUCCAUCCCCUUUGACUGAUCUCUCAAGCCAGAAGUGAGCUACAAAGUGCAGUGGGGUAAAGAGCCUAUUUCGUUUUGUGUAAAGAGUAGACACACCCAUUUGAUAUGUGAGUGGGGCAAACACAUUUCAGCAUAGACACGGUGGCCCUCAGAGCAUUAAGUCAGGGUGGUUAUGAUAACAUUGUCAAUAGCAAAAAUGCAUCAGUUCACAAAGAGAUUGGCAACAUCUGAAGAUCCUUCAGAAUUUAUUUUUUCUUUUUUAAAGGUUUCUAGUUCAUUCCCCACUUGCUGUGUAAAAUGUGUGGCCUGCUAAAGUUGUUAGGAGACCUUUGACAAAUUGUACUAAUGUGUGGUCUGAGAUUCCCAUAAUUCUUUAGGGGAAGCCAUGACUGUUUAAAUGUGAUUUAAAUUCAAGGUAUAGACGUGAUCCUAAUGACAGCAGUAAAAACAA